GACGAACGCUGGCGGCGUGCUUAACACAUGCAAGUCGAACGGAAAGGCCCUGCUUUUGUGGGGUGCUCGAGUGGCGAACGGGUGAGUAACAUGUGAGUAACCUGCCCUUGACUUUGGGAUAACUUCAGGAAACUGGGGCUAAUACCGGAGAGGAGCUCGUGCUGCAUGGGGGGGGUUGGAACUUUUCGUCGGAAGGAGAUGGACUCCCGGCUUAUCAGCUUGUGGGUGGAGUAGUGGCUUACCAAGGCUUUGACGGAUAGCCGGCCUGAGAGCGUGACCGGCGACAUUGGGACUGAGAUAGGCACCAGACUCCUACGGGAGGCAGCAGUGGGGAAUAUUGCACAAUGGGCGGACGCCUGAUGCGGCAACGCCCCGUGCGGGAUGACGGCCUUCGGGUGGUAAAGCGCAUUCGCCUGUGACGAAGCGUGAGUGACGGUAAUAGGAAAAGAAGCACCGGCUAACUACGUG
rnacentral:rRNA from 1 species